rnacentral:rRNA from 1 species
UACGUAGGGGGCGAGCGUUGUCCGGAUUUAUUGGGCGUAAAGAGCGUGUAGGCGGUUCGGUAAGUCUGUCGUGAAAUCCUGAGGCUCAACCUCGGGCGUGCGAUGGAUACUGCCGGGCUAGAGGGUGGUAGAGGCGAGUGGAAUUCCCGGUGUAGCGGUGAAAUGCGCAGAUAUCAGGAGGAACACCAGUGGCGAAGGCGGUGCUCUGGGCCGGAACUGACGCUGAGACGCGAAAGCGUGGGGAGCAAACAGG